GAUGAACGCUGGCGGCGUGCUUAACACAUGCAAGUCGAACGGUGAAGCAGAGCUUGCUCUGUGGGUCAGUGGCGAACGGGUGAGUAACACGUGAGCAACCUGCCCCUGACUCUGGGAUAAGCGCUGGAAACGGCGUCUAAUACUGGAUAUGAGCUGCGACCGUAUGGUCAGCAGUUGGAAAGAUUUUUCGGUCUGGGAUGGGGUCACGGCCUAUCAGCUUGUUGGUGAGGUAAUGGCUCACCAAGGUGUCGACGGGUAGCCGGCCUGAGAGGGUGACCGGCCACACUGGGACUGAGACACGGCCCAGACUCCUACGGGAGGCAGCAGUGGGGAAUAUUGCACAAUGGGCGAAAGCCUGAUGCAGCAACGCCGCGUGAGGGAUGACGGCCUUCGGGUUGUAAACCUCUUUUAGCAGGGAAGAAGCGAAAGUGACGGUACCUGCAGAAAAAGCGCCGGCUAACUACGUG
rnacentral:rRNA from 1 species